CAAAUAAUCAGCAUAAAAUCAUAAUUUUGAGUUUUUGCUGUGUAGAAAGUAACUUUUGGCAAACUAUAUUUCUAAGAUUGUUCAAGUUUUUUAUGCAACAUACAGUUUUUGUUAGAGUAACCACACAUAAUAAUUUAAAUUAACUUAGUUUGAUCCAUGAAAAGGAAUCAAAAUUUCCAACCAAAACUUCAUUUGGUCCAUUUUCUGCCUUACCAGGGUCACGGUACGAGUGAUCAGACUCUGAUCCGGAUCCUGGUGAGCCGCUCCGAGGUCGACCUGCAGAAGGUCGUAGAGGAGAACCGGGCAAUGUUUGAGAGAACCCUACAUGAGGACAUCUUGAACGACACCAAAGGACAUUAUCAGAAAGUCCUGCUUGCGUUGUGCUGACCGAGUUAAAACCUCGGCCUCUGAGGAAGCAAAAAAUCAGUCAAAUUCAUGCUCUAAUAAAGUUUCUCUUUCCACUAUUUGUUUUACUGCUGCUGGUGGAAAAAGUACAAGAAGAAAAAAAUACAAGAAGAAUGAAAAAGGUUUUUUAUUGUUUGAAUUUGAGAUUAUAUCCGGAAAUUGUGUUUAAAUGGAGACGUGUCUGAUCCAACAUGCCUGCAGGAAGGACAUUUUAUGGCUAAUACUGAGAUUAACUGACACAAAUUCAAUAAAAAUACCUUUUUGAUCCCAAAGGAAAA